rnacentral:tRNA from 1 species
GCGCCCGUAGCUCAGCCCGGACAGAGCAACGGACUUCUAAUCCGUAGGUCACAGGUUCGAAUCCUGUCGGGCGCACCA